rnacentral:rRNA from 1 species
GAUGAACGCUGGCGGCGUGCCUAAUACAUGCAAGUCGAGCGAACAGACGAGGAGCUUGCUCCUCUGACGUUAGCGGCGGACGGGUGAGUAACACGUGGAUAACCUACCUAUAAGACUGGGAUAACUUCGGGAAACCGGAGCUAAUACCGGAUAAUAUAUUGAACCGCAUGGUUCAAUAGUGAAAGACGGUUUUGCUGUCACUUAUAGAUGGAUCCGCGCCGCAUUAGCUAGUUGGUAAGGUAACGGCUUACCAAGGCAACGAUGCGUAGCCGACCUGAGAGGGUGAUCGGCCACACUGGAACUGAGACACGGUCCAGACUCCUACGGGAGGUAGCAGUAGGGAAUCUUCCGCAAUGGGCGAAAGCUUGACGAAGCAACGCCGCGUGAGUGAUGAAGGUCUUCGGAUCGUAAAACUCUGUUAUUAGGGAAGAACAAAUGUGUAAGUAACUAUGCACGUCUUGACGGUACCUAAUCAGAAAGCCACGGCUAACUACGUG